rnacentral:lncRNA from 10 species
UUUAAUGGAGGUAUAAUACAUACACAGUGAAGCUCACCCCUUUUUAGUGUACAGUUUUAUGAGUUUUAACAAAUCCAUAUAGUCAUGGAGCCACCACGAUCAGCAUAAAGAGCAUUUCCAUCAGCCCAAAAGGUUGUGCCCUGAAGCUGUCCUCUGGGGCGAACAUCCUGUGUACCCAGUGGAAUAUGUAUGACACACAUAAAAUGCUGUCCUGCUCCAAGGGGCUGAACCAGGGCUGGGUCGGUGGUGACAGGAACAGGACAGAUGGGAGACGUUCCGCUAAUGUGACUCUGGUUAAAACUAAGGUUUUCAGGUAUGAAGGAGGUGGACGUUCUGUACAGUGGAGCCACAGCCCUCCCCACCCCCUGGGUUUCUCUGACCCUGAGACCUGAUGCACAGAGAGGUUAAGACUCACACAGCCCAUGAGCGGCGGAAGUCCCGGCACUCUGUCCUUCAAUCUGCUCAUCGCAGUCACUUCCUCCUGACCGUGGACUCUUCUUCCCAGCCUUUUCCUUCAAGCUGGAGGCCCGGAAGUGUGCAGAGGACAGUGAGGGGCCUCAAGUGUGGACAUCACAUGAGUACUGAAGAAGGACCCCUAGGGCUUCCGUGAAAAGAGGCCUCCAAUUGCAAAGCUGCUUUCUAUCAGACGAGGUCACGGACAGUAGUGAGGAGUGGCAGGCGGGAGGGGUGCCUGGCUGCCGGCCCACCCCACCCAGGACGAGGCAGCCCUCAGCGGAAUGGAAGACUCUGUGGCCAGUGCUCUUUGGGGCCUUGGCACCAGGUCCUCAGCAGCUGGGCCAGCCCUGCUACUCCCUCAUCCUGGAAGAGCCCCAGAGAAUAGGGGCCAUGCCCAUGCCCGCUGUGUCCCCUGCACCCCACGCAGGCUGGGGCACAGCAGCCACAGGACACAGGUGCGGGUGAUCAGGGUCUCGGAAUUGCUUGCUGAAUAAAUGGCUGCCUGGACAAAGGACUUUGUCCCUCUGGCCCCCUCACGUGGACUCUCUCUGGUAAUAAGGCCGUUGCUGAGCAGCGAUGAGAGGCUGAGGAGCAUAGACGGGCACCAGGCUGCCUAGGUUCAGAUGCCAGCUGCCCCCGCUCUUUGCUGUGUAACGUUGGGGGUACUCCCUCAGCCUCUCUGUUUCUGCUGUGUAAGUGAGGAUGGCUGUGCUCCUGCCUCCCUGCAGAACUGUUGGCAGGUGAAGCAGGCAACACUUAAGAGCUGCAGUGUGGGCCCUCAUGCAGAUUUUAAUAAAAAUAACUCCCCUUCCCCUCGGUGUCCCCUUCCUCCCUCUAAAGGCUGGUAAAGAAAGGCAGGGAGGAGCGCAUUUG